AAAUUUCUUUGGCGGUGUAUCAGCCCACUAGGCGCGAUGAUUUGGACCAAUUUUUUUUCUAUUCGCGCUUCAAUUUUUCCAACCUAAAGAAACCCUCACAUAACUCAUAAACCAGAACUCAAACCCUCGCCCCCAACAUUUUCUCUCUCAUCUACAAUUCUAAAUACUCAAAAUACUGAUUCAAUUCUCUACGAACAUCUUUGUAACUAUAUUUUCACUACAAAUUGGUGAAUCUUGCUAAAAAUUAGAAGAAUUGAGGUGGAGUUUGAGCUGGUGGUGGCGGCAUCGGGUGUUGUCCGGCGUUAGUGCUUCUUCGAUCGGACGGAUUCAAUGGGAAGACGAAAGAAGCUUCGAACAGUGACUCUUCAUUCACAUGAAGAUUCUGAUACUCAGGGAGCUAGUGGAAAUAUUGUGGACACUCCAAGAAAUAUGACUCCUGUAUCAGCAAGUCUAGAAGAACUAGAAGAUCAGAUGAUUGAUGAGAAUUUAGAGAAUGAAGAUGUUGAAGAUUCUGAAACCUCUACUAAGAAACGCAGAGGACCUACUUUAAUGGCACAUAUUUGGAAUCAACCUAAGGAAAAGAGAAUAGUUCUGAGGUGGAAUAAAUGUUGGCAACCAAUUGGCGAUGAACAUUCUGAUCUUGCUCACUUUAUUGGAACUGUAGCAAGAAAUCCUCGAUUAUGUCCCUUGGUAUAUGAUGACUGGAGACUGGAAAAAAACGAACAGAAGCACUUGAUAUUGUGAAGUCAAAGUUCAUCAUUCCUCACCCGUUAGCAGAAAAGUACGUAAAACAAUCAAUGGGAAAAAAGUGGAACAAUUUCAAGGGAGAACUCAAACUUGAUUGCUGUGAACCACACCUUGGAAAUAUAACAAAUAUUAUUAAAGCUAAGCCUGAUUUUGUGCCCGAGGAGCAAUAGCCUUAUCUGGUAACUUAUUGGAAUUCUCCUAAAGGCAAGGAAAGAUCUGAAAAAAAUCGAAAAAGUCGUGAGGUACAAGUUAUGGCUCAUACUGGUGGAACGAAAAGCUUUGCGUGUUAUGCUGAUGACAAGGUAUGAGACUAUCAAUGGGGCAACACCGUCAAGAGCUAUGGUGUUCUUGGAUACUCAUAAGGAACGUAAAAUUGUGCCAACACCAAUGGAUGAAAAGUCAAAACAAGCUGUGGAACUGAUAAAUGGCAAGUUAAGUAAACAUCCAAAUGGUGUUGAGGAAACAAAUGGCAAGGUUGCAUGGGAAGGUGACAUAUAUUCCCAAGUAAUGAGUAUUAUUGUAGGCCCAGAAAAAAGGGUCAAGUUCGUGGUCUGGGUAGAUGUCCAAAGUCCUUGUCUUCUGUUUCAUCUAAUGAAGAAAGAGAUUACCAUGAUGAUCAUGACAUAUGUGAUGAAAGAAUCCAAUUUUUAGAGUGUGAACUCAAAAGAGUGCAAGAAAAAUCGGCACAAUUAGAGAAAGACAAUGCUGAAUCUCUAGCUCAGAUGAAAGAGGAUGUCAAGUUGUUAAAGGCAUUCUUGCUAGGUAGAAGAGUUCUUGAUGUCAGUACUUAGUGAACAGGUUAUUUUUUAUCAAGUGGGGUGAAUUUGUCGAUUAUUUGUGAAGCUUGAAUCUGAUUUUUGCUGAUUUUUGCUGAUUUUGGAAGUUAUGAAGAGCAUAAAUAGCCUUUGAAAUGUCUAUUUGGAUCAUGUGUAAUCAGUUUUGAAGUUGUUCAAAGAUGUAACAAGUUUUUUUUGGUACCUUGGAUGAUGAUGUAACAACGAUUAUUCAUAUCUAUUAAAUUUAUAAUUAUCUUCCUUAUACUAUACAUUUGUGUAUUGUUGUGUGGGAGCUGAAAUAUAUUUUAUGUAUUAUGGAAGCUAGCAAUU